AACGCGAAGAACCUUACCAGGCCUUGACAUCCCUUGCAAAGUCUUAGAGAUAAGAUAGAGGUUAUCAGGGUGACAGGUGGUGCAUGGUUGUCGUCAGCUCGUGUCGUGAGAUGUUGGGUUAAGUCCCGCAACGAGCGCAACCCUUGUCUUUAGUUACCACCAUUCAGUUGGGGACUCUAAAGAGACUGCCGGUGAUAAACCGGAGGAAGGUGGGGAUGACGUCAAAUCAUCAUGCCCCUUAUGGCCUGGGCUACACGCGUACUACAAUGGCGUAUACAACAAGAUGCAAGAUAGUGAUAUGGAGCUAAACUUUAAAAUACGUCUCAGUUCGGAUCGAAGUCUGCAAUUCGACUUCGUGAAGUUGGAAUCGCUAGUAAUCGCGAAUCAGCAUGUCGCGGUGAAUACGUUCUCGGGUCUUGUACACACGC
rnacentral:rRNA from 1 species